ACGGGUGAGUAACGCGUGGGAAUCUACCUAGUUCUACGGAACAACAGAGGGAAACUUCUGCUAAUACCGUAUACGCCCUACGGGGGAAAGAUUUAUCGGAAUUAGAUGAGCCCGCGUAAGAUUAGCUAGUUGGUGGGGUAAUGGCCUACCAAGGCGACGAUCUUUAGCUGGUCUGAGAGGAUGAUCAGCCACACUGGGACUGAGACACGGCCCAGACUCCUACGGGAGGCAGCAGUGGGGAAUAUUGGACAAUGGGCGCAAGCCUGAUCCAGCCAUGCCGCGUGAGUGAUGAAGGCCUUAGGGUUGUAAAGCUCUUUCAGUGGGGAAGAUAAUGACGGUACCCACAGAAGAAGCCCCGGCUAACUUCGUGCCAGCAGCCGCGGUAAUACGAAGGGGGCUAGCGUUGUUCGGAUUUACUGGGCGUAAAGCGCACGUAGGCGGAUUGGUCAGUUAGAGGUGAAAUCCCGAAGCUCAACUUCGGAACUGCCUUUAAUACUGCCAGUCUAGAGUCCGGAAGAGGUGAGUGGAACUCCUAGUGUAGAGGUGGAAUUCGUAGA
rnacentral:rRNA from 1 species